AUUGAACGCUGGCGGCAGGCCUAACACAUGCAAGUCGAACGAGUGGCGGACGGGUGAGUAAUGUCUGGGAAACUGCCCGAGGGAGGGGGAUACAUACUGGAAACGGUAGCUAAUACCGCAUACCAUCGGAUGAGCCCAGAUGGGAUUAGCUAGUAGGUGGGGUAACGGCUCACCUAGGCGCCGAUCACUAGCUGGUCUGAGAGGAUGAACAGCCACCCGGGAACUGAGCCACUGUCCAGCCUCCUACGGGAGGCAGCAGUGGGGAAUAUUGCACAAUAGGCGCAAGCCUGAUACAGCCAUGCCGCGUGUAUGAAUAAGGCCUUCGGGUUGUAAAGUACUUUCAGUGAGGAGGCGUUACUCGCAGAAGAAGCACCGGCUAACUCCGUGCCAGCAGCCGCGGUAAUAC
rnacentral:rRNA from 1 species